CCUACGGGGGGCUGCAGUGGGGAAUUUUGCGCAAUGGGCGAAAGCCUGACGCAGCAACGCCGCGUGGGUGAUGAAGGUCUUCGGAUCGUAAAACCCUGUCGUUGGGGACGAAGGUGGGGGCGUUAAUAGCGUUUCUGCUUGACGGUACCCGGAGAGGAAGCCCCGGCUAACUCUGUGCCAGCAGCCGCGGUAAUACAUAGGGGGCAAGCGUUAUUCGGAAUUAUUGGACGUAAAGGUCGCGUACGCGGUUGAAAUCCCCGGGCUCAACUGGGGAAGUGCAUGUGAGACUGGAAGGCUAGAGUACUGGAGAGGGUGGUGGAAUUCCUCGUGUAGCGGUGAAAUGCGUAGAGAUGAGGAGGAACACCAGUGGCGAAGGCGGCCACCUGGACAGUAACUGACGCUGAGGCGCGAAAGUGUGGGUAGCAAACAGGAUUAGAUACCCGAGUAGUC
rnacentral:rRNA from 1 species